rnacentral:lncRNA from 1 species
UAACAUACCGGCGGCGGAGUUUGGCAAACGAGAUUUCAGAUUUGAAAAAAGGAAGCGGAUGGUCAGUUUAAACUACGAAAAUACUCUACGGCAUGAAUGAGAAACGAGAUUCGUCGUAAUCGGAGAGAUUACCGGCGAAGAGAACAGGGGAACACGAUCACGGUAGGGUUUUCGUUUUAUCGCCUUCGAAAUCGCCCUUGGAGAGAAACGGUGCUAGGGUUUCGUAAAGUUGUGAAAAAGUCAAAAAAUAGUUUUUAUAUGUUCGGUAAAUGAUCUGGUUAGGUUAAAACGUACAUUGGUAAAAUUAAAGGUUCGGUACGAUGUGGACGACUGAAAUAUAAGUCGUCUGGGUAAAAUUAUUCACCAGAAGACUGAAAUAUAAGUCGUCCACAUCCUAAACAUAACCCCUAAACUUAAUUAUCUAAUUAAACAUUUCAUAAAAUCAAAUCAAACUUGAAAAGUGGUUACUAUACACAGAAAGAAACACAUAUAGGUGAAAAUUAAUUUUUGAAAAAAACAUUUUAGCUUUCCAAAAUCUAACCUUAAGAAUACAUACAAU